rnacentral:rRNA from 1 species
AGGAAGGUUUUGAUCCUGGCUCAGGACGAACGCUGGCGGCGCGCUUAACACAUGCAAGUCGAGCGAGAACCAUGGCUUCGGCCAUGGGGACAGCGGCGAACGGGUGAGUAACACGUGGGUAAUCUGCCCUCGACACUGGGAUAGCCCGGGGAAACCCGGAUUAAUACCGGAUAGCCUCUCGAGCUCUCGAGCUCGUGAGGAAAGAUGGCUUAGGCUUUCGGUUGAGGAGGAGCCUGCGGCGGAUUAGCUUGUUGGUGAGGUAACGGCCCACCAAGGCGACGAUCCGUAGCUGGUCUGAGAGGACGAUCAGCCACACUGGGACUGAGACACGGCCCAGACUCCUACGGGAGGCAGCAGUGGGGAAUCUUGCGCAAUGGGCGAAAGCCUGACGCAGCGACGCCGCGUGAGGGAAGAAGGCCUUCGGGUUGUAAACCUCUUUCAGGAGGGACGAAGCUACUCGGGUUAAUAGCCCAGAGGGUGACGGUACCUCCAGAAGAAGCCCCGGCUAACUACGUGCCAGCAGCCGCGGUAAUACGUAGGGGGCAAGCGUUGUCCGGAUUUAUUGGGCGUAAAGCGCGUGUAGGCGGCAGAUAAGUCCGUGUGAAAACUCGAAGCUCAACUUCGAGCUGUCGGUGGAAACUAUUUGGCUAGAGUCCGGAAGAGGAGAGUGGAAUUCCUGGUGUAGCGGUGAAAUGCGCAGAUUUCAGGAAGAACACCCGUGGGAAGGCGGUCUCUGGUACGGAACUGACGCUUGAGACGCGAAAAGCGUUGGGGAGCGAA